rnacentral:rRNA from 1 species
GACAUAGGGCGCGAGCGUUGUCCGGAUUUAUUGGGCGUAAAGAGCUCGUAGGCGGUUUGUCGCGUCUGCCGUGAAAGUCCGGGGCUCAACUCCGGAUCUGCGGUGGGUACGGGCAGACUAGAGUGAUGUAGGGGAGACUGGAAUUCCUGGUGUAGCGGUGAAAUGCGUAGAUAAUCGGGGAGGAACACCAGUGGCGAAGGCGAC